rnacentral:rRNA from 1 species
AACGAACGCUGGCGGCAGGCUUAACACAUGCAAGUCGAGCGCACCGCAAGGUGAGCGGCAGACGGGUGAGUAACGCGUGGGAAUCUACCGUGCCCUAAGGAAUAGCUCCGGGAAACUGGAAUUAAUACCUUAUACGCCCUUCGGGGGAAAGAUUUAUCGGGGUAUGAUGAGCCCGCGUUGGAUUAGCUAGUUGGUGGGGUAAAGGCCUACCAAGGCGACGAUCCAUAGCUGGUCUGAGAGGAUGAUCAGCCACAUUGGGACUGAGACACGGCCCAAACUCCUACGGGAGGCAGCAGUGGGGAAUAUUGGACAAUGGGCGCAAGCCUGAUCCAGCCAUGCCGCGUGAGUGAUGAAGGCCCUAGGGUUGUAAAGCUCUUUCACCGGUGAAGAUAAUGACGGUAACCGGAGAAGAAGCCCCGGCUAACUUCGUGCCAGCCGCCGCCGUAACAC